rnacentral:rRNA from 1 species
GACAGAGGAUGCAAGCGUUAUCCGGAAUGAUUGGGCGUAAAGCGUCUGUAGGUGGCUUUUUAAGUCCGCCGUCAAAUCCCAGGGCUCAACCCUGGACAGGCGGUGGAAACUACCAAGCUGGAGUACGGUAGGGGCAGAGGGAAUUUCCGGUGGAGCGGUGGAAAUGCGCAGAUAUCAGGAGGAACACCGGUGGCGAAGGCGGUUCUCUGGGCAUUACCUGACGCUGAGGAGCGAAAGUGUGGGGAGCGAACAGG